GAUGAACGCUGGCGGCGUGCCUAAUACAUGCAAGUCGAGCGAACAGACGAGGAGCUUGCUCCUCUGACGUUAGCGGCGGACGGGUGAGUAACACGUGGAUAACCUACCUAUAAGACUGGGAUAACUUCGGGAAACCGGAGCUAAUACCGGAUAAUAUAUUGAACCGCAUGGUUCAAUAGUGAAAGACGGUUUUGCUGUCACUUAUAGAUGGAUCCGCGCCGCAUUAGCUAGUUGGUAAGGUAACGGCUUACCAAGGCAACGAUGCGUAGCCGACCUGAGAGGGUGAUCGGCCACAAUGGAACUGAGACACGGUCCAGACUCCUACGGGAGGCAGCAGUAGGGAAUCUUCCGCAAUGGGCGAAAGCCUGACGGAGCAACGCCGCGUGAGUGAUGAAGGUCUUCGGAUCGUAAAACUCUGUUAGUAGGGAAGAACAAAUGUGUAAGUAACUAUGCACGUCUUGACGGUACCUAAUCAGAAAGCCACGGCUAACUACGUG
rnacentral:rRNA from 1 species